GUGACUGAGUAGCAGAAGCAGUGUACUGUGUAGCGACCAGUGUAGCCUGUUGUCACUGUUGACUAGUGUUGGCUGUCUAUGUGUCUGAAUGGUCGCUACACAGUACUGUACACUGCUUCUGCUACACAGUCACA
rnacentral:pre_miRNA from 1 species